CUCAACUUUAUGGUUCUGCCCCCGACGGUAAACAACACCUGCGCCACCCUCCGCCCGAAACGGGAAUGCACUUCAAGCCUUUGUUUCAAUACAGUUCGAGAUUCAAGCAUAAUUGGAUGGUACACAUUUGGUAUAACUACGCCCCGCUGCUGGUCAUGUGCAUACUUCGAUAACUGGUGCCACUUCAAUAACAGAGAAAAACAAAAGCCACGUGCGAACGAUAAUAUCAUCAGCUUUUAACAGACCGUUCCGGUGAAGUACCAAGGAAGCAGACAUUGAGAGGAAUAUAUAUAAGCUCCAACGAUACAAUCGAUAAAACAACAAUGAAUUGAAACGUCACGUCAAAGUGG